rnacentral:rRNA from 1 species
GACGAACGCUGGCGGCGUGCUUAACACAUGCAAGUCGAGCGGAAAGGCCACUUCGGUGGUACUCGAGCGGCGAACGGGUGAGUAACACGUGAGUAAUCUGCCCUUCACUCUGGGAUAGCCACCGGAAACGGUGAUUAAUACCGGAUACGACCACUCCACGCAUGUGGUGGUGGUGGAAACUUUUUGGGUGGGGGAUGUGCUCGCGGCCUAUCAGCUUGUUGGUGGGGUAAUGGCCUACCAAGGCUUCGACGGGUAGCCGGCCUGAGAGGGUGACCGGCCACACUGGGACUGAGACACGGCCCAGACUCCUACGGGAGGGAGCAGUGGGGAAUAUUGGUCAAUGGGCGGAAGCCUGAUCCAGCAACGCCGCGUGAGGGAUGACGGCCUUCGGGUUGUAAACCUCUUUCAGCACCGACGAAGCGCAAGUGACGGUAGGUGCAGAAGAAGGACCGGCCAACUACGUGCCAGCCGCCGCCGUAA